GAUGAACGCUGGCGGCGUGCCUAAUACAUGCAAGUCGAGCGAACAGAUGAGGAGCUUGCUCCUCUGACGUUAGCGGCGGACGGGUGAGUAACACGUGGAUCACCUACCUAUAAGACUGGGAUAACUUCGGGAAACCGGAGCUAAUACCGGAUAAUAUAUUGAACCGCAUGGUUCAAUAGUGAAAGACGGUUUUGCUGUCACUUAUAGAUGGAUCCGCGCCGCAUUAGCUAGUUGGUAAGGUAACGGCUUACCAAGGCAACGAUGCGUAGCCGACCUGAGAGGGUGAUCGGCCACACUGGAACUGAGACACGGUCCAGACUCCUACGGGAGGCAGCAGUAGGGAAUCUUCCGCAAUGGGCGAAAGCCUUACGGAGCAACGCCGCGUGAGUGAUGAAGGGCUUCGGAUCGUAAAACUCUGUUAUUAGGGAAGAACAAAUGUGUAAGUAACUAUGCACGUCUUGACGGUACCUAAUCAGAAAGCCACGGCUAACUACGUG
rnacentral:rRNA from 1 species